AAGUAUACACUUUCAGGAAUCAUUUCUAUAGUUUGUUACAAUUUUGGGGUGAGCAAUGUCAUUCACACACCUCCUUACCUAUCUUGGGGAGAUGAGAGGUUGUACCUAUGUGUCAACAACUGUACUGUAAAUCAUUAACUUCUCAAUAAAGUAGG
rnacentral:snoRNA from 1 species